rnacentral:rRNA from 1 species
AUUGAACGCUGGCGGCAGGCCUAACACAUGCAAGUCGAGCGGAUGAAGGGAGCUUGCUCCUGGAUUCAGCGGCGGACGGGUGAGUAAUGCCUAGGAAUCUGCCUGGUAGUGGGGGAUAACGUCCGGGAACGGGCGCUAAUACCGCAUACGUCCUGAGGGAGAAAGUGGGGGAUCUUCGGACCUCACGCUAUCAGAUGAGCCUAGGUCGGAUUAGCUAGUUGGUGGGGUAAAGGCCUACCAAGGCGACGAUCCGUAACUGGUCUGAGAGGAUGAUCAGUCACACUGGAACUGAGACACGGUCCAGACUCCUACGGGAGGCAGCAGUGGGGAAUAUUGGACAAUGGGCGAAAGCCUGAUCCAGCCAUGCCGCGUGUGUGAAGAAGGUCUUCGGAUUGUAAAGCACCUUAAGUUGGGAGGAAGGGUAGUAAGUUAAUACCUUGCUGUUUUGACGUUACCAACAGAAUAAGCACCGGCUAACUUCGUG